AACAAAAAGUAAAUAAAAAAUAAUUUAUUUUCCGACUACAUGAAUGUGAAUAUACACGUUUCUCAGAUGAAAUUACUACAUGGUAUUUAGCAAAGUUUCAAUAAUAUGUACACAUCACAGUUUAAGUAACCAAGUCAAACAUUAUGUCGGCAAAUAUCAGAAAAUACUCGUUACUUGAUAAUCUAACAUUUUUUGGUAACUUUUUUAUUUAUCUCCUACUCCUUAAAGACAACAUACAAAUAGUGUAAUGAAAGUUUAACAUACUCUGUCUCACUGUUACUUCACAAGGGCUUAACUACUAUACUGCACUGAUAUCAAACUUUAAAUAAACAUCAAAUAUGUCUAUCUUUAUAUUUUGGGUCAAAUGUGACUUUAAAGAUGACAAUUAUUAGCACUCGAUAUGAUUUAAACAGUCCGGUCCAAGUGAUAACUAUUGAGACAGAAUACAUUCUGUAAUAACAAGCAAUUCCCUACCAAUCAGAUUAUCUAACAAAUUGCACAUGUAAGUUGUUAUUCAUGUCACCACUGACAAAUUGCACAGAAUUGUUGUCUUCAAAUGUCACUCAAUGUUGAAUAAUUUGUAAAUUAAAGACCAUUAGACAUUUCUAUGAGGUGUCAAGUGCAGUACAGUGUAUAGCUGUGUCAGGUGAGAGGUGUCAUGUAUGGUACAGUGAGUAGCUGUGUCAGAUGAGAGGUGUCAAGUGUGGUACAGUGUGUAGCUGUGUCAGAUGAGAGGUGUCAUGUAUGUUACAGCGUGUAGCUGUGUCAUGUAUGGUACAGUGUGUAGCUGUGUCAAGUGUGGUACAGUGUGUAGCUGUGUCAGAUGAGAGGUGUCAAGUGUGGUACAGUGUGUAGCUGUGUCAGAUGAGAGGUGUCAAGUGUGGUACAGUGUGUAGCUGUGUCAGAUGAGAGGUGUCAUGUAUGGUACAGUGAGUAGCUGUGUCAGAUGAGAGGUGUCAAGUGUGGUACAGUGUGUAGCUGUGUCAGAUGAGAGGUGUCAAGUGUGGUACAGUGUGUAGCUGUGUCAGAUGAGAGGUGUCAAGUGUGGUACAGUGUGUAGCUGUGUCAUGUAUGGUACAGCGUGUAGCUGUGUCAAGUGUGGUACAGUGUGUAGCUGUGUCAGAUGAGAGGUGUCAAGUGUGGUACAGUGUGGCUGUGUCAUGUAUGGUACAGCGUGUAGCUGUGUCAAGUGUGGUACAGUGUGUAGCUGUGUCAGAUGAGAGGUGUCAAGUGUGGUACAGUGUGUAGCUGUGUCAGGUGAGAGGUGUCAUGUAUGGUACAGUGAGUAGCUGUGUCAAAUGAGAGGUGUCAAGUGUGGUACAGUGUGUAGCUGUGUCAGAUGAGAGGUGUCAAGUGUGGUACAGUGUGUAGCUGUGUCAA